rnacentral:rRNA from 1 species
AGAGUUUGAUCCUGGCUCAGGAUGAACGCUGGCGGCGUGCCUAACACAUGCAAGUCGAGCGAUUCUCUUCGGAGAAGAGCGGCGGACGGGUGAGUAACGCGUGGGUAACCUGCCCUGUACACACGGAUAACAUACCGAAAGGUAUGCUAAUACGAGAUAAUAUGCUUUUAUCGCAUGGUAGAAGUAUCAAAGCUUUUGCGGUACAGGAUGGACCCGCGUCUGAUUAGCUAGUUGGUAAGGUAACGGCUUACCAAGGCGACGAUCAGUAGCCGACCUGAGAGGGUGAUCGGCCACAUUGGAACUGAGACACGGUCCAAACUCCUACGGGAGGCAGCAGUGGGGAAUAUUGCACAAUGGGCGAAAGCCUGAUGCAGCAACGCCGCGUGAGCGAUGAAGGCCUUCGGGUCGUAAAGCUCUGUCCUCAAGGAAGAUAAUGACGGUACUUGAGGAGGAAGCCCCGGCUAACUACGUGCCAGCAGCCGCGGUAAUACGUAGGGGGCUAGCGUUAUCCGGAAUUACUGGGCGUAAAGGGUGCGUAGGUGGUUUCUUAAGUCAGAGGUGAAAGGCUACGGCUCAACCGUAGUAAGCCUUUGAAACUGGGAAACUUGAGUGCAGGAGAGGAGAGUGGAAUUCCUAGUGUAGCGGUGAAAUGCGUAGAUAUUAGGAGGAACACCAGUUGCGAAGGCGGCUCUCUGGACUGUAACUGACACUGAGGCACGAAAGCGUGGGGAGCAAACAGGAUUAGAUACCCUGGUAGUCCACGCCGUAAACGAUGAGUACUAGCUGUCGGAGGUUACCCCCUUCGGUGGCGCAGCUAACGCAUUAAGUACUCCGCCUGGGAAGUACGCUCGCAAGAGUGA